UGUCAUGACCACAUGGUUGCUUUCUUCCAAAAUUCUGCAACCUUAUUUAGCCAUUAAAACACCUAACUCCUUUGACAAAAGUUAGAGCUUACGAUCCUAGGAACAAAACCCUAUACUUAGUUCACCUUGAAAGGCCUUGGAUGAUGAGAUUCCCAUCCUUUAUGGCUUCGGUUAUUGUUCAUUCAAGAGGUUUGGAUGAGUGGGUUUUGAUAGUUAAAAGCUUGGAGAUUGAAGCUUUGGUGAUUUGGAAUACAACUAAGGAAGUGAACUCAUGGGUGGAGAUUGAUCCAUAAACCAUGAGUUUACUGAGAUGUUGAAUCUCACCCUGUUUGGGUACAUGUUUUAGGUACUCCAGCAGCAGUAGAGGGGCUCUCAUAGGGCAAGAGGCCUACACAAGGUUAGGAACCUAGCUAUGUUGGGGAUUUGACAUUUUAGAUGAUUGUAUAUAUUUUGGGGAGCAUGUAAUAUUAUCAUGCACUAUUAUAACGUUUGAUAUAUGUAUCUGAGAAAUAUUUGUAUUUAUGAUGUUAUGGUUGGUAAUUAAGGCAUGUGAAGCUUUUAUGGCCUUA